rnacentral:misc_RNA from 1 species
GAUGAAGAACGCAGCGAAAUGCGAUACUUGGUGUGAAUUGCAGAAUCCCGUGAACCAUCGAGUCUUUGAACGCAAGUUGCGCCCGAAGCCAUUAGGCCGAGGGCACGCCUGCCUGGGCGUCACACGUCGUUGCCCCCCCAUCUACUCCUUCGGGAUUGCGGGGGGCGGAUGAUGGCCUCCCGUGCGCCUCGUCGCGCGGUUGGCAUAAAUGCCAAGUCCUCGGCGACGCAUGCCACGACAAUCGGUGGUUGCGAAACCUCGGUUGCCCGUCGUGUGCGGUCGUCGCGCAUCGAGGGCUCGAAAAAAUUGCCGGGCUCCGGCUCGGCUUUCAACGCGACCCCAGGUCAGGCGGGGUUACCCGCUGAAUUUAAGCAUAUCAAUAAGCGGAGGA